rnacentral:rRNA from 1 species
CAGCAGCCACGGUAAUACGUAGGUCCCGAGCGUUGUCCGGAUUUAUUGGGCGUAAAGCGAGCGCAGGCGGUUAGAUAAGUCUGAAAUUAAAGGCCGUGGCUUAACCAUAGUACGCUUUGGAAACUGUUUAACUUGAGUGCAAGAGGGGAGAGUGGAAUUCCAUGUGUAGCGGUGAAAUGCGUAGAUAUAUGGAGGAACACCAGUGGCGAAGGCGACUCUCUGGUCUGUAACUGACGCUGAGGAGCGAAAGCGUGGGGAGCGAACAGGAUUAGAUACCCGUGUAGUCCCUGUCUCUUAUACA